AGACAGUGAGGAGGUUGGCUUAGAAGCAGCCAUCCUUUAAAAAGUGCGUAACAGCUUACUUAUCAAGGUUGCAAGCCCUGAAGAUGGACGGGGCUAAAUCAGUUACCGAUACUUUGGAUUUUGAAAAAAAUGGUAGGCAGGCGUUCUACUAGGACAGAAGCUGUUCUGUGAAGAACAGUGGACCUGGUAGGAAUGAAAAUCCUGGCGGUAGUAGGAUCAAAGCAGUGUGAGAAUCACUGUCACCGAAAGGGCAAGGGUUCCUUGACAAUACAGAUUAGUCAAGGGUUAGUUAAUCCUAACUCAACUCAUAAUUCGUAGUUGGGGAAAGGGAAACAGGUUAAUAUUCCUGUACUAUUUGUGUAUGCGUGGCAACACAAGCCUGAUUUUUGACGGUUCGGGCUAGGCUGACAUACUUUGUCUAGUGUGUUAAUAAGAGUAAAUCAAGGGAGUGCUGUAAUGGCGAGAAUUUGAUUAAAUCUUAGAAUAGUAGUUCGUAUGAAUUAUUCAGCUGAUGCCUGGAUUCACUGAAAAGAGAAUCAGGAAAGAUCACAAAUAUUUAUACCCAGAACCGGCACAGGUGCCCCUAGGUGAGAAACCUAAGGUGUGAAGGUGUAAUCUAGUUAAGGGAAUUCGGCAAAUUGGCCCCGUAGCUUCGGUUUAAGGGGUCCCUGCGCUUGUAUCUGUAUAGAUGCGACUGCAGGGUGCAAUUACCAAGAUGGUUCGACUGUUUAACAAAAACUUAACUAACUGCAAAGCCGUGAGGCCUAGUAUAGUUGGUGAUGUCUGCCCAGUGUCAGUACUUUAAACUCCUGUUCAAGGGAGCGAAGAGCUGGUAAACGGCGGGGGUAACUAUAACUCUCUUAAGGUAGCGUAAUACCUUGCCGAUUAAAUGUCGGCUUGCAUGAAUGGCAUAACGAAAUCGUCACUGUCCCUAACUAGAAUCCUCCGAACACUCUUUACUGGUGCAAAGGCCAGUGAUCUUCAGUGGGAAGUGAAGACCCCGUGAAACUUUACUGUAGCCUGUGGUUGCGGUGUGAGUUUUGUUGUAUAGCGUAAGUGGGAGUCGUUAAAACUUGAUCGCAAGAUUAAGCGUAGACGUCCAUGUAACACCACUCUUCAGAAUUUACAUUGCUUACUCGCAUUGCGAGGACACCUAUUGGUGGACAGUUUGGCUGGGGUGGCACUCUGCUGAAAAGAUAUCAGCAGAGCCCAAAGGUUGACUCAACCGGGUCAGAAAUCCGGUGUAGAGUGCAAAGGCAAAAGUCAGCCUGAUUGGAAUCCCAAUAAGACGGAUUCCAAGAGCGAAAGCUUGGCUUAGCGAACCCCUGUACCUCCUUGAUGGGGGUCAGGGAUGACCGAAAAGUUACUCCGGGGAUAACAGAGUUGUCGCGCCCGAGAGCUCAAAUCGACGGCGCGGCUUGCUACAUCGAUGUCGGCUCUUCCUAACCUGGACGUGCAGAAGCGUCCAAGGGUGGGGGUGUUCACCCAUUAAAAGGGAUCGUGAGCUGGGUUCAGAACGUUGUGAGACAGUUUGUUUAAUAUCUACUGAAGAUGUUUGGUGUCUGAUAGGAAGGAAGCGAUAGUACGAGAGGAACUUGCUUUCGGAGCCUCUGGUGUAUCAGUUGUCUGACAAGGCAUGCUGAGCAGCUACGCUCUAAGGGAUAAGUGCUGAAAGCAUCUAAGCACGAAGCCUGCCCAGAAAAGAGACACUAGGAUACUCGCAAAACACGAGUUUGAUAGGGUUGUGGUGUAAGUAC
rnacentral:rRNA from 1 species